rnacentral:rRNA from 1 species
UCUUGGGUCGUAAACCUCUUUUCUCAGGGAAGAACACAAUGACGGUACCUGAGGAAUAAGCAUCGGCUAACUCCGUGCCAGCAGCCGCGGUAAUACGGAGGAUGCAAGCGUUAUCCGGAAUGAUUGGGCGUAAAGCGUCCGCAGGUGGCGAUGUAAGUCUGCUGUUAAAGAGUGAGGCUCAACCUCAUAAGAGCAGUGGAAACUACAUAGCUAGAGUACGUUCGGGGCAGAGGGAAUUCCUGGUGUAGCGGUGAAAUGCGUAGAGAUCAGGAAGAACACCAGUGGCGAAGGCGCUCUGCUAGGCCGUAACUGACACUGAUGA